UAGGGUGACCAACUGCCCCAGUUUGGUUAGGGCUGAGGACUUCCCUAGGAUGUGAGACUUUCUGUGUUAAAACUAAAAUAGUCCUAACAAACUGGGAUGGUUGGUCACCCUAGGGCCAC
rnacentral:pre_miRNA from 1 species